UACAGAGGAUGCAAGCGUUAUCCGGAAUGAUUGGGCGUAAAGCGUCUGUAGGUGGCUUUUUAAGUCCGCCGUCAAAUCCCAGGGCUCAACUCUGGACAGGCGGUGGAAACUACCAAGCUGGAGUACGGUAGGGGCAGGAGGGGAAUUUCCGGUGGAGCGGUGAAAGUGCGUGAGAGAUCGGAAAGAACACCAACGGCGAAAGCACUCUGCUGGGCCGACACUGACACUGGAGAGACGAAAGCUAGGGGAGCGAAUGGGA
rnacentral:rRNA from 1 species